rnacentral:tRNA from 1 species
UCCCUGAUAGCUCAGUUGGUAAAGAAUCUGCCUGCAAUGCAGAAGACCCCAGUUUGAUCCCUGGGUUGGGAA